GCCGUUGUUUCUUGGAUCUCCGCACUAUUGGAUAAAUGAGGUAAUUCUUGAGCUAAUACACGCAACCGAGCUCCGACUUAACGGGACGAGCGCAUUUAUUAGAACAAAACCAAUCAGUGCUUGCACUGUCGUUUGGUGAAUCUGAAUAACUGAGCAAAUCGCUCCGGUCUUCGUACCGGCGAUGUAUCUUUCAAGUGUCUGCCUUAUCAACUUUCGAUGGUAGUUUAUGUGCCUACCAUGGUUGUAACGGGUAACGGAGAAUUAGGGUUCGACUCCGGAGAGGGAGCCUGAGAAACGGCUACCACUUCUAAGGAAGGCAGCAGGCGCGCAAAUUACCCACUCUCGGCACGAGGAGGUAGUGACGAAAAAUAACGAGACGGUUAUCUUAUGAUUACCGUCAUCGGAAUGAGAACAAUCUAAACCCUUUAACGAGGACCUAGCGGAGGGCAAGUCUGGUGCCAGCAGCCGCGGUAAUUCCAGCUCCGCCAGUGUAUAUCUAUGCUGCUGCGGUUAAAAAGCUCGUAGUUGGAUCUGCGUGCCAGGAGAAGGUCCGCCAAUUCGGUGUGCACUUUCCUCCGGCACUAAAUCGUUGGUUUUCUCUUGAUGCUCUUCAUCGGGUGUCCUGAGUGGCUAGCAUGUUUACUUUGAAAAAAUUAGAGUGCUCAAAACAAGCGUUUCGCUUGAAUAUUCGUGCAUGGAAUAAUAGAAUAGGACCUUGGUUCUAUUUUGUUGGUUUUCGGAACACGAGGUAAUGAUUAAGAGGGACAGACGGGGGCAUUCGUAUUGC
rnacentral:rRNA from 1 species